CUGCGAUAAGCGCCGGUAAGGUGAUAUGAACCGUUAUAACCGGCGAUACCCGAAUGGGGAAACCCAGUGUGAUUCGUCACACUAUCAUUAACUGAAUCCAUAGGUUAAUGAGGCGAACCGGGGGAACUGAAACAUCUAAGUACCCCGAGGAAAAGAAAUCAACCGAGAUUCCCCCAGUAGCGGCGAGCGAACGGGGAGGAGCCCAGAGCCUGAAUCAGCAUGUGUGUUAGUGGAAGCGUCUGGAAAGGCGCGCGAUACAGGGUGACAGCCCCGUACACAAAAGCGCAUGUGCUGUGAGCUCGAUGAGUAGGGCGGGACACGUGGUAUCCUGUCUGAAUAUGGGGGGACCAUCCUCCAAGGCUAAAUACUCCUGACUGACCGAUAGUGAACCAGUACCGUGAGGGAAAGGCGAAAAGAACCCCGGCGAGGGGAGUGAAAAAGAACCUGAAACCGUGUACGUACAAGCAGUGGGAGCACAGGUUUACCUGUGUGACUGCGUACCUUUUGUAUAAUGGGUCAGCGACUUAUAUUCUGUAGCAAGGUUAACCGAAUAGGGGAGCCGGAGGGAAACCGAGUCUUAAUUGGGCGUUAAGUUGCAGGGUAUAGACCCGAAACCCGGUGAUCUAGCCAUGGGCAGGUUGAAGGUUGGGUAACACUAACUGGAGGACCGAACCGACUAAUGUUGAAAAAUUAGCGGAUGACCUGUGGCUGGGGGUGAAAGGCCAAUCAAACCGGGAGAUAGCUGGUUCUCCCCGAAAGCUAUUUAGGUAGCGCCUCGUGAAUUCAUCUCCGGGGGUAGAGCACUGUUUCGGCUAGGGGGCCAUCCCGGCUUACCAACCCGAUGCAAACUGCGAAUACCGGAGAAUGUUAUCACGGGAGACACACGGCGGGUGCUAACGUCCGUCGUGAAGAGGGAAACAACCCAGACCGCCAGCUAAGGUCCCAAAGUCAUGGUUAAGUGGGAAACGAUGUGGGAAGGCCCAGACAGCCAGGAUGUUGGCUUAGAAGCAGCCAUCAUUUAAAGAAAGCGUAAUAGCUCACUGGUCGAGUCGGCCUGCGCGGAAGAUGUAACGGGGCUAAACCAUGCACCGAAGCUGCGGCAGCGACACUGUGUGUUGUUGGGUAGGGGAGCGUUCUGUAAGCCUGUGAAGGUGUGUCGUGAGGCAUGCUGGAGGUAUCAGAAGUGCGAAUGCUGACAUAAGUAACGAUAAAGCGGGUGAAAAGCCCGCUCGCCGGAAGACCAAGGGUUCCUGUCCAACGUUAAUCGGGGCAGGGUGAGUCGACCCCUAAGGCGAGGCCGAAAGGCGUAGUCGAUGGGAAACGGGUUAAUAUUCCCGUACUUGGUGUUACUGCGAAGGGGGGACGGAGAAGGCUAUGUUGGCCGGGCGACGGUUGUCCCGGUUUAAGCGUGUAGGUGUGUGUUCCAGGUAAAUCCGGUUCACUUUAACACUGAGGCGUGACGACGAGGCACUACGGUGCUGAAGCAACAAAUGCCCUGCUUCCAGGAAAAGCCUCUAAGCAUCAGGUAACAUCAAAUCGUACCCCAAACCGACACAGGUGGUCAGGUAGAGAAUACCAAGGCGCUUGAGAGAACUCGGGUGAAGGAACUAGGCAAAAUGGUGCCGUAACUUCGGGAGAAGGCACGCUGACACGUAGGUGAAGUGAUUUACUCAUGGAGCUGAAGUCAGUCGAAGAUACCAGCUGGCUGCAACUGUUUAUUAAAAACACAGCACUGUGCAAACACGAAAGUGGACGUAUACGGUGUGACGCCUGCCCGGUGCCGGAAGGUUAAUUGAUGGGGUCAGCGCAAGCGAAGCUCCUGAUCGAAGCCCCGGUAAACGGCGGCCGUAACUAUAACGGUCCUAAGGUAGCGAAAUUCCUUGUCGGGUAAGUUCCGACCUGCACGAAUGGCGUAAUGAUGGCCAGGCUGUCUCCACCCGAGACUCAGUGAAAUUGAACUCGCUGUGAAGAUGCAGUGUACCCGCGGCAAGACGGAAAGACCCCGUGAACCUUUACUAUAGCUUGACACUGAACAUUGAGCCUUGAUGUGUAGGAUAGGUGGGAGGCUUUGAAGUGUGGACGCCAGUCUGCAUGGAGCCGACCUUGAAAUACCACCCUUUAAUGUUUGAUGUUCUAACGUGGACCCGUUACCCGGGUUGCGGACAGUGUCUGGUGGGUAGUUUGACUGGGGCGGUCUCCUCCUAAAGAGUAACGGAGGAGCACGAAGGUUGGCUAAUCCUGGUCGGACAUCAGGAGGUUAGUGCAAUGGCAUAAGCCAGCUUGACUGCGAGCGUGACGGCGCGAGCAGGUGCGAAAGCAGGUCAUAGUGAUCCGGUGGUUCUGAAUGGAAGGGCCAUCGCUCAACGGAUAAAAGGUACUCCGGGGAUAACAGGCUGAUACCGCCCAAGAGUUCAUAUCGACGGCGGUGUUUGGCACCUCGAUGUCGGCUCAUCACAUCCUGGGGCUGAAGUAGGUCCCAAGGGUAUGGCUGUUCGCCAUUUAAAGUGGUACGCGAGCUGGGUUUAGAACGUCGUGAGACAGUUCGGUCCCUAUCUGCCGUGGGCGCUGGAGAACUGAGGGGGGCUGCUCCUAGUACGAGAGGACCGGAGUGGACGCAUCACUGGUGUUCGGGUUGUCAUGCCAAUGGCACUGCCCGGUAGCUAAAUGCGGAAGAGAUAAGUGCUGAAAGCAUCUAAGCACGAAACUUGCCCCGAG
rnacentral:rRNA from 1 species